UCAGGCGUCAUUGGCAUAUGGGGACUCGUCGCGUUGUGGCUGCUGUCCUGGGGAUCCACUAUAGCUUCUUCUGGCAUCAGGAGGUGGUGGUGGCGACCUGCUCACGUCUCGGGCUGCCGGUGGUGACCUGCUCACGUCUCGGGCUGCCGGUGGUGACCUGCUGUUAUUUCUGGGAGGAGGUGGCGGCGGCGACCUGCUCACUUCUCGGGCUCCAGGUGGUGACCUGCUGUUAUUUCUGGGAGGAGGCGGCGGCAGCGGCGGUGACCUGCUGAGACUCCGUGCAGGAGAUCCCAGUGGCGACCUGCUGUAACUUCGCCUCCUAGGAGAACGAUCUCGCGGGCU
rnacentral:lncRNA from 1 species